rnacentral:sRNA from 1 species
GUCUUGUUAAAAUGGUUCUAAUAAUGAAAUUGAUAUAUAGAAAUUAAGAUGUUUGGAAUUUCACCAAAGAAGAUUGGAGAUUAAAACCAUACUCCAUGCUUUAAACAAAUGAUUAAAACUAUAAUCAUAUAAUAGUUAUUAUCGAAAACCAUUUACUUGAGUAUAAUUUUAAAGACACACACCUAUUUAAAUGACAACUAAAAUUGUCAUUUAAUGUUUUCGUAGUUGGUGAUUUUUUUAGUUAUCGUAAAAAAACAAAUAAUACUAGUAAUAGAGAUAACAAAACAGUAAUUUGUUGUACUCGUCAGUGCUUACUAGCAAUUGAACUUUAAUAGAUUUCAAAACGUCUAUGAUUUUCAAGUUUCGAGAGUUUUAAAGGAGUUUUAUAUAAGAAAGAACCAUGCGUGGCUAUUGGUCUGAGGUUUCGAGAUGAAAUGAAAGACUUCUAGGUUUCAACGUUGACUCAUUUGCGAAAUUUAAAGAAAUGAAACUUGAUUUUCACUCUAAUAUAUUUUUGAAAUAAGUGCUGAAAUGAUACAAAAUCGUGUCAUCGAAUCCAUUACUGGGACCUGUCCAACACCGAGCGAUCAACUUCACAAACUUGACCGAACCUCUCUGAGGACAGAGGAAGCGUGCCAGACCUAACUGAAGCAUUAUUAUACAAUAGCACUCGGUUGGUUCGUGGGCAUACUAAUAAUUAUUUUGGCUAACUAGUAAUGCUAUCAAUCGGAAGUUUGUUUUUAUUUCUGUUAGCUUGGCAUACAGGCAGUCUGCUUUCGUAAACCCCUGGUGUUUUGAUGUGGUUCCAACUCUCAGAUUGCUGGAAUCUUAAAAUGUAGCCGUAUUUCAAAAAUUGUAAAAUGUAGCUCUAGAACGCUUUGUUGGAGGGGGCGGACAACAGAACUCAUACUGAUGAAUCAUGGAUCAGAAUACUUGGAAUCGCAACUUUUUUCUUCAAAGAACUAGAGUUUCUACGGAGGACAAACAGUGCCACAAACAAAUCGUUAGUAGAUCCUUUAACACAAUAACUUACGCAGUGCUUUCGACUACUUUUAU